AUGCUGGCGGUGUGCCUUAGGCAUGCAAGUCGAAUGCCAAUACUUGUAUUGGCAUGGCAGACGGGUGAGUAACACGUGAGAAUCUACCCUAAAGUGGGGAAUAGUCCAUCGAAAGGUGGGAUAAUACCGCAUGUGGUCGCAAGACCAAAGUCCCGACGUAAGUCGGGGCGCUUUAGGAGGAGCUCGCGCGCUAUCAGCUUGUUGGUGGGGUAAUGGCCUACCAAGGCUACGACGGCUAGCCGGUGUGAGAGCACGACCGGCCACAAGGUUACUGAAACACGGAACCUACACCUACGGGUGGCAGCAACCGGGAAUAUUGCGCAAUGGGCGAAAGCCUGACGCAGCGACACCGCGUGUGGGAUGAAGCUCUUCGGAGUGUAAACCACUGUGGCGAGGGAUGACAUCGACAGUACCUCGCUAGAAAGCACCAGCUAACUACGUGCCAGAAGCUUCGGUAAUACGUAGGGUGCAAGCAUUAUCCGGAUUUAUUGGGCGUAAAGCGUCCGUCGGCGUCUUGACAAGUUUUUUGUUUAAGCCUGAAGCUUAACUUCAGACAUGCAAAAAAAACUGCCAAGAUUGAGUUUGUUCGAGGGAAUUGGAAUUCUUGGUGGAGGGGUGAAAUCCGUAGAUAUCAAGAGGAACACCGAGCGCGAAAGCAGAUUCCUAGGACACAACUGACGCUCAGGGACGAAAGCUAGGGUAGCAAAGCGGAUUAGAGACCCGUGUAGUCCUAGCCGUAAACAUUGUCCGCUAGCUGUUCCCGAUUUCAUCGGGAGUGGCGUAAGCUAACGCGUUAAGCGGACCGCCUGGGGAGUACGACCGCAAGGUUAAAACUCAAAGGAAUUGACGGGGGAGCGCACAACCGGUGGAGCAUGUGGUUUAAUUCGAUACAAAGCGAAAAACCUUACCUGGGUUUGACACGUACCUGCACGGCUUUGGAAACAUAGCCUUCUUCGAGAGUGGUACACAGGUGAUGCAUGGCUGUCGUCAGCUCGUGUCGUGAGACGUCCACUUAAGUGUGGUAACGAGCGCAACCCUUAUCUUGUGUUAUAUGUAUCACGAGAGACGGUCCCGAUUAUAUCGGGAAGGAAGGAGAGUACGAUGUCAAGUCAGCACGUCCCUUACAUCCAGGGCAACACACAUCCUACAAUGGAGCCGACAACGGGUAGCGACGGGGUAACCCCGAGCCAAUCCUCAUAAACGGCUCCUCAGUUCAGAUUGAGGGCUGCAACCCGCCCUCAUGAAGUCGGAAUCGGUAGUAAUCGCAAAUCAGCAGGUUGCGGG
rnacentral:rRNA from 1 species